rnacentral:rRNA from 1 species
CAGUCGCCACGGUAAUACGUAGGUGGCAAGCGUUGUCCGGAAUUAUUGGGCGUAAAGGGCUCGCAGGCGGUUUCUUAAGUCUGAUGUGAAAGCCCCCGGCUCAACCGGGGAGGGUCAUUGGAAACUGGGAAACUUGAGUGCAGAAGAGGAGAGUGGAAUUCCACGUGUAGCGGUGAAAUGCGUAGAGAUGUGGAGGAACACCAGUGGCGAAGGCGACUCUCUGGUCUGUAACUGACGCUGAGGCUCGAAAGCGUGGGGAGCAAACAGGAUUAGAUACCCCUGUAGUCCCUGUCUCUUAUAC